rnacentral:rRNA from 1 species
CGGGGUGAGUAACGACGUGGAAAACCUAGCCGUAUACUGGGGAGUAACACUUAGAAAUAGGUGCUAAUACCGCAUAAGCGCACAGCUUCGCAUGAAGUGGUGUGAAAAACUCUGGUGGUAUACGAUGGUUCCGCGUCUGAUUAGCUUGUUGGUGGGGUAAUGGCUCACCAAGGCGACGAUCAGUAGCCGGCCUGAGAGGGUGAACGGCCACAUUGGGACUGAGACACGGCCCAAACUCCUACGGGAGGCAGCAG